rnacentral:pre_miRNA from 1 species
GUUAUACUCCCUCCGUUCGGAAUUACUUGUUACAAAAAUGGAUAUAUCUACAACUAAAAUACAUCUAGAUACAUUCAUUUCUUGGACGAGUAAUUCCGAACGGAGGGAGUACUUG